GAUGAACGCUGGCGGCGUGCUUAACACAUGCAAGUCGAACGAUGAAGCCCAGCUUGCUGGGUGGAUUAGUGGCGAACGGGUGAGUAACACGUGAGUAACCUGCCCUUAACUCUGGGAUAAGCCUGGGAAACUGGGUCUAAUACCGGAUAGGAGCGUCCACCGCAUGGUGGGUGUUGGAAAGAUUUAUCGGUUUUGGAUGGACUCGCGGCCUAUCAGCUUGUUGGUGAGGUAAUGGCUCACCAAGGCGACGACGGGUAGCCGGCCUGAGAGGGUGACCGGCCACACUGGGACUGAGACACGGCCCAGACUCCUACGGGAGGCAGCAGUGGGGAAUAUUGCACAAUGGGCGCAAGCCUGAUGCAGCGACGCCGCGUGAGGGAUGACGGCCUUCGGGUUGUAAACCUCUUUCAGUACGGAAGAAGCGAAAGUGACGGUACCUGCAGAAGAAGCACCGGCUAACUACGUG
rnacentral:rRNA from 1 species